UACUGAGGCAGUGUGUUCAAAGGGUGAGCGCCCUCCUCAGCUCGGAUUGCAUGCACAGUGAUGUUCCUGACCUCUGGAUCUUCUUGCAGGUCUUGCUUCUCAUUAUCUGGUCUCGGUGGCCAUUCACUUUUUGACCGCAAUUGAAAUCUCAAUAGGUCUGCAUCUGUCUCUGGAACUCUGACCUGAUGGACCAUCGAUUCAAUGUCCGCCGUUGUGGCCAUUGGAUCCUCAGGGAACCUCAGUAAGGCACCGAUGAGUGUAUUGGUGAGGUCAGGUCCUUGCAAUAAUUGUCUGUUCAACACCACAUCCUGAAAAGAAGCAGUGCAGUCAAAGAGGACACACAUUUUAUUUUUCUCCGCAUGGUACACCGCACGAUGAGGAACGUAGGGGACCCUGCAGUCAUCACGGUCAAGCUGCUCCUCGGGAACUUCAACGACGUAGCUUUUAUCCAGUAUGCUUUUAUGCUUUUUUUUUAACACUUUCUUUUUCGUCUUUUCACCACAGAUAGAACACAUAUAUACGUAAAUGAAAAACAAAUGAUAACCACAGCAAAUACAAAUAAAUAAAUAAAAAGGGAUCUGGUUUGCUCUGUCCUCUCAAAAGCUAAAUAUAAAGAUAAAUCCGGAGAAACAUUCAAGUGUUCUUAUCUUGUGUUAUUGUUGACGUGUAAACAUUGUCUCACGGCCUUGCUCCCCUUGAGCUGUCUCCAUCUUGGUGGUCUCAUUCUUUGCAGGUCCACUAAACAUCCAGGCCAGGACAGACUUCACAGCAUACGGCCCAUCAUUCUGACUAUUAAUUAAGUGCCACGGCUCCAUUGCCUUUGAGUUACUACCUCCAAGGAGAAGGCCUACAUCAGCGUCAAUGUGUGGUCAGGUUACUUCAUGCACAUGAGGCCACUUUUGCAGAUGUUGUUGAAUUGGAAUGUUUUCCUUUUGAGCCGGGAUACUUGUUGGAACAUGAAGCACUUGUUGGAAGACUUAAGAAAACAUGAGAACACCAGGACACACAUGGAUAACUCCAUUAAGCAGCCAUAUUGGGCAAAGUGCACGUCGCUACCAUGCUGGACGAUGGACACAGGAAGUGAAGAAACACAAUGAUCAAAGGCUACUGGUGUGUUUGCUGAAAUUGAUUGGAUGGCUCUACAAAAAAUAAUUCCACCAGCCGCCACUGAUCAGAGGACCAUUGUGGUGGCUGGAGCUUGAUUACGCUCAGCUGUGGAGCUGCAAGGGAGAUGGAGGGACAAGACCGGCAGAGCAGAGCGACAAAUAAAGUAUCAUGUCAAACGUCACAACAA